AUUGAACGCUGGCGGCAUGCUUUACACAUGCAAGUCGAACGGUAACAGGCCUUCGGGUGCUGACGAGUGGCGCACGGGUGAGUAAUGCAUCGGAACGUACCCAGAGGUGGGGGAUAACGCAGCGAAAGCUGUGCUAAUACCGCAUGUGAUCUGAGGAUGAAAGCGGGGGACCGAGCAGCAAUGUUUGGCCUCGCGCCUUUGGAGCGGCCGAUGUCGGAUUAGCUAGUUGGUGGGGUAAAGGCCUACCAAGGCGACGAUCCGUAGCUGGUCUGAGAGGACGACCAGCCACACUGGGACUGAGACACGGCCCAGACUCCUACGGGAGGCAGCAGUGGGGAAUAUUGGACAAUGGGCGCAAGCCUGAUCCAGCAAUGCCGCGUGCGGGAAGAAGGCCUUCGGGUUGUAAACCGCUUUUGGCAGGAACGAAACGGUGUCCGCUAAUACCGGGCGCUAAUGACGGUACCUGCAGAAUAAGCACCGGCUAACUACGUG
rnacentral:rRNA from 1 species